ACGCCUGCCCAGUGAACAAUUAAACGGCCGCGGUAUCCUAACCGUGCAAAGGUAGCAUAAUCAUUUGUCUACUAAUUAUAGACCUGUAUGAAAGGCAAAAUGAGGGUCCUACUGUCUCUUAUAAUUAAUCAAUUAAACUGAUCUACUAGUAAAAAAGCUAGAAUACCCACAUAAGACCAGAAGACCCUGUGAAGCUUAAACUAAACUAUUAAACCAAAUAAUAGCUACUUUCGGUUGGGGCGACCUUGGAAAAAAAAAGAACUUCCAACACUAUGAUCUCCAUCACACCACCAAAGGCCAACAAGCCAACAAAAGACCCAGCAAAGCUGAUAAAUGAACCAAGUUACUCCAGGGAUAACAGCGCAAUCUUCUUCAAGAGCCCAUAUCAAAAAGAAGGUUUACGACCUCGAUGUUGGAUCAGGACAUCCUAAUGGUGCAGCCGCUAUUAAGGGUUCGUUUGUUCAACGAUUAAUAGUCCUACGUGAUCUGA
rnacentral:rRNA from 1 species